CCGGGCCCGGCGCAGGCAGGAAUGCUAGCGAGGCCGGGGGGGCUGGAAAAAGCGGCACGACCGGCGCACACGGGAGUCCUGGCGCAGCCAGAGGGGCUGGAGGAACCGGAGCAGUCUGGGUGGCCGAGGUGGCCGGGGCUGGGGCGGACGGGGCUGCCACAAGCGAGGCGGCAGGAGCCGGCGCAGGCAGGAACCCUGGCGCAGCUGGGGCGGACGGAAAAUCCUGAGCUGGGGGAACUAGCGGGAGCGGGUCUACUCCUUACUUCCACCAACGUCGCAACCGUCUCACCCCGCAAGGCCAAAAGCCUUAGCCACCCUCCCGACCUCCCUAGGCACGGGAGAGUGUCGCCCGCCGUCCGCUGUGCUGGACCAAGCUGGGAGUCCCCGAGUGGACACAAGGAGUGGCACAGCGUCACCCAGGGGUUCCAUGUCUCCUGUCCAGCAUGCAGCAUAUUCUCCCUCUUCCGGAUUAAAUGGUUCUUUAUGUUAUAGAUAAAAAUUGACUCAGCCGAAUUAAAAAGAAAAAAAAAAAUAUUAUAAAGAUCUAAUUCUAUCUGAGCCAGCCACAAAAGAGGACAGUGCCGAGCCCGGGAUCGGUGCUGGGUGAGACGCAGGUUCAACCACUCUAGCAAAGGGUCUCUCCUAUGCUUCACACCACCCGUUCUGUGUGAGCAGUUUUUAUACAGUUUAUUUUGCUUGAGGCCGGGAUUUCUGCGAUCAGCCUUUUCUUUCCAUUCAAAGUCCCAAAUAUUCAUAAAGUCUCUUUUCUCUACGCCAGAGUGUACGUCGAUCAUGGAGUUACAGGAACCGGACACUGAGAUGUAUCUCCCUAUCUCCCGGAGAUUUCAGUGAGAAUCUCGGGUACUUGGCGGGAUGAUCAUCGCUUGUGCGUUCCUGGAUUAUCUCAAGAAACCGCCCAUCUCCGAGCUAGCCACUUGCAUUAACUUGUAAAUGAAGCCUUGUCUACAAUGGUUUCGACAUACAUGAGACAGCCUCCCCCCUUUGCCCUGGCUUGCUUGCUUUUUGUCUCUAUUUAAUCAUAUAAGAACUCCUAUCUAUACAUCACUCUAUAGGCAUGAAUUAUAACAUUUAGAAUUUACAAACGUGUUUAAGGCUUGGCAAAUCCAACGCUCAAAAGAACCAUAUCUAGGCCAAUAAACAUGGUUGGGUCUUA